UUGAAGUUACCUGGUGGCCAGGGAUUGCCUGAGACCCCCCAAAGGCUGUCUCCUAGAAGACCUCUCUCUAGGAAGGUCGUGGGAUCCUGGGUCAGACCAACUGACCUGCCUGGCCACCACAGUGCAGGAUUUGUGGCAAGGUUACAAUUUGAGAAUAAAUCUGCUAAUAUUUUUAGUCUGAAGUAACUUUAUCUGCAUUUGUAACUUCACAAGGAAAUACUAUCUUACUGUUAAACGUGAAGAUUUAAUAGUAGUGUUAAUAUUUCCCUGCGUUUUUUCUUUUUUUUCUUUUUUUGUUAAAUACAUGCAAUUUCAUUUUUAUCUGUUCUGAAUUUUCUGUUUGGAAGAAAGGAUUUCCACUUACUGCCAAAGAAUUGUCAUUGGGCUCACUACCUCCAAUGAGAUGAGAUGAGGCACGGAAUAAUUACACUUACUUUCUGCUGGUCAUUUGAAUGCUUAUGACUACGGACACCCUAUUGACCAAAAUGUGUGAAAAAUGCUGCAUGGGAGCCAGCAGCACAGGCUUACUCACACCAUCCUUACAACAUUGUCCAUCUGGAUUUGGUCAGAAGGAAAAACAAGGGAAAUGUUGUUCCUUGUCCUGCAAGAGACACUGCCUCUUCUGUCAGUAGUACUUACAUUUUUGUCUGCGUUUCUGCUGAUAAAAUUCAACUGAUGUAAAUUAUAGCAAACUUUCAUGCUUGCUAAAUUUGUGAACAAGAAGGGAAUAAGGACCACACUUAAGCAAACAAAAGUCAAUCAUCAAGGAAUAAGUGGGGGUUUUAGCCUGCUCAAAGAAAAGGUAAGUGGAAGGACCUUUAUAUAACUCUUCCUGCAUGCUCAAAGGUAAUAUGUGGAUGGUGUUAUUUAAAUAAAAGCUUAUUUUUUGUCUUUUUUUUGUCUUUU
rnacentral:lncRNA from 1 species